AUCCAACUGACGAGUCCUAAAUAGGAUGAAACGCGUGUCCUGGAU
rnacentral:hammerhead_ribozyme from 1 species